GUGCUUGCUUCAGAACAUAUUAGUAAAAUUGGAACACGAUACAGAAAGAUUAGCAUGGCCCAUGCAACAAGGAUGACAACCGCAAAUUCGUAAAGUGUUUCCAUAUUAA
rnacentral:snRNA from 1 species